rnacentral:rRNA from 1 species
ACUCCUACGGGAGGCAGCAGUGGGGAAUAUUGCACAAUGGGCGCAAGCCUGAUGCAGCCAUGCCGCGUGUGUGAAGAAGGCCUUCGGGUUGUAAAGCACUUUCAGUCGUGAGGAAGGUAGUGUAGUUAAUAGCUGCAUUAUUUGACGUUAGCGACAGAAGAAGCACCGGCUAACUCCGUGCCAGCAGCCGCGGUAAUACGGAGGGUGCGAGCGUUAAUCGGAAUUACUGGGCGUAAAGCGCAUGCAGGUGGUUUGUUAAGUCAGAUGUGAAAGCCCGGGGCUCAACCUCGGAAUAGCAUUUGAAACUGGCAGACUAGAGUACUGUAGAGGGGGGUAGAAUUUCAGGUGUAGCGGUGAAAUGCGUAGAGAUCUGAAGGAAUACCGGUGGCGAAGGCGGCCCCCUGGACAGAUACUGACACUCAGAUGCG